CUACGAAGGGGGCUAGCGUUGUUCGGAAUUACUGGGCGUAAAGCGCGCGUAGGCGGAUUGGUCAGUUAGGGGUGAAAUCCCAGGGCUUAACCCUGGAACUGCCUCUAAUACUGCCAGUCUUGAGUUCGGGAGAGGUGAGUGGAAUUCCUAGUGUAGAGGUGAAAUUCGUAGAUAUUAGGAAGAACACCAGUGGCGAAGGCGGCUCACUGGCCCGAUACUGACGCUGAGGCGCGAAAGCGUGGGGAGCAAACAGGAUUAGAAACCCUAGUAGUCC
rnacentral:rRNA from 1 species